rnacentral:rRNA from 1 species
GACAGAGGGUGCAAACGUUGUUCGGAAUUACUGGGCGUAAAGCGCGUGUAGGCGGCCAUGCAAGUCGGAUGUGAAAGCCCUCGGCUCAACCGGGGGAAGUGCACUCGAAAACUGCAAGGCUAGAGUCUCGGAGAGGAUCGUGGAAUUCUCGGUGGUAGAGGUGAAAUUCGUAGAUAUCGAGAGGAACACCGGGUGGCGAAGGCGGCGACCGUGGGGUGAGAUAACUGACGCUGAGGUGCGAAAGCGUGGGGAGCAAACAGGG